rnacentral:rRNA from 1 species
ACCAGCUCUUGACAUUCGGGGUAUGGGCAUUGGAGACGAUGUCCUUCAGUUAGGCUGGCCCCAGAACAGGUGCUGCAUGGCUGUCGUCAGCUCGUGUCGUGAGAUGUUGGGUUAAGUCCCGCAACGAGCGCAACCCUCGCCCUUAGUUGCCAGCAUUUAGUUGGGCACUUUAAGGGGACUGCCGGUGAUAAGCCGAGAGGAAGGUGGGGAUGACGUCAAGUCCUCAUGGCCCUUACGGGCUGGGCUACACACGUGCUACAAUGGUGGUGACAGUGGGCAGCGAGACAGCGAUGUCGAGCUAAUCUCCAAAAGCCAUCUCAGUUCGGAUUGCACUCUGCAACUCGAGUGCAUGAAGUGGAAUCGCUAGUAA